AGUCACAAAUCAUCGCGUCGCCUUCGCUGGUCCCUUUCUCUUAUCGAGCCUCAGUUUUCUCUUCCAUAAGCCGGGCCAGCAGUGCCCACCCCACAGGUUGGCGCCAGCUCCGUAAGGGCCCUACCACCGCGGCCGGCCAGAUCCUCGGCGGGCCAGUCCUGGCGCUGCGGUCAUUUAGCCUGAUGACCCCUGGCCAUGUUCAGCUUCAAUUGCUCCAGAGAACUCCGGACCCGUACCCCGAGCCCGGCGUCGCAGCGGCGAAGUUGAUGGGCCCCGCAGGAGCCCUUGCGGGCCCUGGAAAUGGGGGAUCUCCUGCCUUGACAGCUCAUCAGUACAUGUGAAAAGCCAACAAGAGUGGAUAUGAUAGGAACUGCAAUCACACAGCACUUUGGAGAGUGUGAAGAUUGGUGCUCACAGCAGAAGUUAACACACUGAUGCUGUGAUCACUGUUCAGUAAGUGGAAUGG
rnacentral:antisense_RNA from 1 species